rnacentral:rRNA from 1 species
GUGGGGAAUAUUGGACAAUGGGCGAAAGCCUGAUCCAGCCAUGCCGCGUGUGUGAAGAAGGUCUUCGGAUUGUAAAGCACUUUAAGUUGGGAGGAAGGGCAUUAACCUAAUACGUUAGUGUUUUGACGUUACCGACAGAAUAAGCACCGGCUAACUUCGUGCCAGCAGCCGCGGUAAUACGAAGGGUGCAAGCGUUAAUCGGAAUUACUGGGCGUAAAGCGCGCGUAGGUGGUUCGUUAAGUUGGAGGUGAAAUCCCCGGGCUCAACCUGGGAACUGCAUCCAAAACUGCAUGACUAGAGUACGGUAGAGGGUAGUGGAAUUUCCUGUGUAGCGGUGAAAUGCGUAGAUAUAGGAAGGAACACCAGUGGCGAAGGCGACUACCUGGACUGAUACUGACACUGAGGUGCGAAAGCGUGGGGAGCAAACAGGAUUAGAUACCCUAGUAGUCC